GACGAACGCUGGCGGCGUGCUUAACACAUGCAAGUCGAACGAAGAGCGAUGGAAGCUUGCUUCUAUCAAUCUUAGUGGCGAACGGGUGAGUAACGCGUAAUCAACCUGCCCUUCAGAGGGGGACAACAGUUGGAAACGACUGCUAAUACCGCAUACGAUCUAACCUCGGCAUCGAGGAAAGAUGAAAGGUGGCCUCUAUGUAUAAGCUAUCACUGAAGGAGGGGAUUGCGUCUGAUUAGCUAGUUGGAGGGGUAACGGCCCACCAAGGCGAUGAUCAGUAGCCGGUCUGAGAGGAUGAACGGCCACAUUGGGACUGAGACACGGCCCAGACUCCUACGGGAGGCAGCAGUGGGGAAUCUUCCGCAAUGGACGAAAGUCUGACGGAGCAACGCCGCGUGAGUGAUGACGGCCUUCGGGUUGUAAAGCUCUGUUAAUCGGGACGAAAGGCCUUCUUGCGAAUAGUGAGGAGGAUUGACGGUACCGGAAGAGAAAGCCACGGCUAACUACGUG
rnacentral:rRNA from 1 species